CUCCGAGGGGAUCGCGCAAUAACAGAACUUGGUUUAUAUCUUUCAUAAAGAGGUGUGCAAAACGAUAAGACUCAAAUGCCGAACGCCAAGAAAGUCUGGAAAACGACCAAAGCGAAAGUGAAAGGUGUCCUUCCUGGGAAAAGCAAGAAAGAUGGCGGCAAAGAGAAAGGGAAGGGUAAAGGAACCUUGGAAGAAAGAGCAAUGAAGGCGGCGCGGAAGAUGGCGAUGAAGCAGGCAAUGGGGGGUGCCGGUGUCUAGCACGUCACGUGAAACCACGAAAGUUCACCGCUGACCUUUUGUUUGCUUAUACUGGGAUUUUAGAGAAACUCAUCAAGGGUAGUGGAGGAGUUGGGAUAUGGUUUUGAUUGUGUUAAUAUAUUUAUUAUGUAAAUAUUAUUUAAUGUACGCAAUGAGGUUGUAAUAAGGCAGCAAAUUACAUCACUCACCCUUUAUACGCCUUGAUUAUGUGGGUGUUUGUGUUUUUAUUUUCUUGGAUAAAAUCGGUUUUUACGUGUUGCAUUAAGUAAAAUAAAAAUCCAAGGAUUAAA